UAUCUCUGUAGAGUCUGCAUAUCAAUAAGCGGAGGAAAAGAAACUAACUAGGAUUCCCUCAGUAACGGCGAGUGAAGCGGGAAGAGCUCAAAUUUGAAAUCUUCAAGGUUCUACCUUGACGAAUUGUAGUUUAAAGAAGUGUUUUCUGUUGGAGUUUUGGUAAAAGUUCUUUGGAAUAGGACAUCAUAGAGGGUGAGAAUCCCGUAUUUGACCAUUAUUUCCAGCUUUGUGAUACACUUUCAAAGAGUCGGAUUGUUUGGGAAUGCAGUCCAAAAUGGGUGGUAAAUUUCAUCUAAAGCUAAAUAUUGGCGAGAGACCGAUAGCGAACAAGUACCGUGAGGGAAAGAUGAAAAGAACUUUGAAAAGAGAGUUAAACAGUACGUGAAAUUGUCAAAAGGGAAGCGUUUGACACCAGUGUUGUUUUCUCGAAAAUCAAUUAAAAAAGGCAGGAUUUUGUGUUGUAUUGACUUUAUCAGCUUUCUGCACUCUUUUCUUGCUUUUUUUAAUGCACUUUUCGUUUAACAAGUCAACAUCAAUUUCUUUUGUUGUAAAAGAGUCAUUGGAAGGUGGCUUUCACUUCGGUGAAAGUGUUUAUAGCCUUUGGCUUCUGCAAUCGGAGAGAUUGAGGUCUGCAGCGUAGAUCCUUCGGGGCUAGAUACGUAGAUGCUAAGUUAUAGUUUUUUAUAGACAACUUGUUGACUAUAAUUAAUCAUGUAGCUUACUCGUUUGCGCUAUUUUACCUACGCUUAGGAUGUUGAAGUCAUCGUAUCGCGC
rnacentral:rRNA from 1 species